rnacentral:snoRNA from 1 species
ACUCUAUGAUAAAGGCACUUCCGUAAUAACUCUUUGUACCUUUCCCAUGCCUCAUACAAGGACUCAUCAUCCAUUGUUGAAAAGUAGUGAUCUCAUUCCUCAAUUU